GACGGAGGGUGCGAGCGUUAUUCGGAAUCAUUGGGCGUAAAGAGCGCGUAGGCGGUCUAUUAAGUCGGGUGUGAAAUCCCGGGGCUCAACCCCGGAAGUGCACUUGAAACUAAUGGACUUGAGUAUGGGAGAGGGAAGUGGAAUUCCUGGUGUAGCGGUGAAAUGCGUAGAUAUCAGGAGGAACAUCGGUGGCGAAGGCGACUUCCUGGACCAAUACUGACGCUGAGGCGCGAAGGCGUGGGGAGCAAACAGG
rnacentral:rRNA from 1 species